AUACGGAGGGUGCGAGCGUUGUUCGGAAUUACUGGGCGUAAAGAGCUUGUAGGCGGCCUGUUAAGUCUGAUGUGAAAACCCUCGGCUCAACCGAGGAAGUGCAUCGGAUACUGGCAGGCUUGAGUAUGGGAGAGGAGAGCGGAAUUCCCGGUGUAGAGGUGAAAUUCGUAGAUAUCGGGAGGAACACCAGUGGCGAAGGCGGCUCUCUGGACCAAUACUGACGCUGAGAAGCGAAAGCGUGGGGAGCAAACAGGAUUAGAUACCCCGGUAGUCC
rnacentral:rRNA from 1 species